AUUCACCACCAGGUAGACAGCCUCCAUGAUAGGGCCGCGGAGGUCAGGACCAAAGGAAGGCUGGCGCCUCGGCGGCGGCGGGGUCAAGGUUGCCACGACUGUGGCGAGAUCGGAGCGAAUGCGGAAGGGAUGCGAACGUCUAACCCAGGGACACCCGAGGGCUACAGACGCGGGCUGCACGGACGACUUCUACAGGAGGGAGCGGCGGCCCGGCAUGGAAAGCGGAAGAGCCCGGACCGGACGGAGCCCCGCAGCUUUAGGAGCCCCGGGGCGCACAUCAGAACCCACAUCCUUGAAACAUGAAGUCACUGAAGUACACAAAGGCCACAGUCUGUGGUUGUGCAGGGCAGAGGGGCACUUGGGUGUGCUUGCGGUUCCAGAAGGACCACAAAUCCACAAAUCACUGCCUGCCACCGCAGAUGCCAAUACACCCAGACUGGAAAUGACUCUGAGCUAUGACUUUCCAGAGAGCCAGCAAGCUGAGAAGAAAGAAUUCACAACCUGGCGAGCAGGCCAGAUAUAUCAGCACGUGCCUUUUAACCCAACACUUGGGAGACAGAGGCAGGCAGGUCUCUGUGAGUUUGAGGCCAGGCUAUUCUGCACAGCAAGUUCCAGAACCGCCACAGCUCCAUCGUGAGACCACCAGGUCAGCUGCCCAGCCUUGUCUCUUGAGGGCGGAAGGGUUGGCACACUCUUCCUCGUCCUCCCCCACCUCUGUACAGCUGGGUUUGCAUGCACCCAAGGGGCUGGGGGACAUUCCCCCUGCUGCUCCUCCUUCACCUGGUCUACAGGUUAACAGGCAGAUCAUUGGUGGUAUUCCUGCUAUUUGCAAAGUGCACCUGCAAAUGCCAUUCUAUAGCAGGAAGUAUAAAUGCCUCCUCAAAGAAUAUGAGAGUCCCUAUCUGUCCCUCUUGUCUCUGAUAGGAGUAUCAGGGGCACUCGCACUGGAGCCUGAGUCGGGGAUUUUGAUGCCCGCCUGGGUUCUACGUACACACAAAAAUAUGAAGUGGAAACUUGAGGGUUCUUUGGAAAGUCUGUUGGAUGAUGUUUUGCUGGGACAGACAUGUGAAGGUGUGUUUUCCUGGAGUGGACACAGGUUGAAAGGCUAAGGCAGACUUGUGAAGGAAUGUUUCACUGGAGCAGACAGAUGAAAGGAUGUUCUGCUAUGGCAAGCAUGUGAAAGAACACAUGAUGAGGGAUUCUUUGCUCACAACACACAUGUAUUGGUCUGCCUUUCAAUGCAUAAUGGAGCCUCCAUUUGUCAAGACUCCAUAGAGAGAAACACCAAAAAACUUCUGGUGAUGGGCUGCGUGGGCUUGGCUUGAUUGACGAAGUGAUGUCAGCUGAGACAGAUGCAUGUGCAGAGGCAAGACUGUGAAGGACACGUGAUGACUGGAGGGAAUACAAAAAGGACUCUGGAUAGUGACGGGGGUGGGUGGGCUAAGCAAGGCUUGCUUAUAGAGUGCGCUGUGCAACGCUUGUUAGUCUCGUGUCUUCGCUGAUCUUCGCUUCAAUGAGAGAGGCACAGCUGAGAACUUCUCCUGACGUUCCUGCUGGCCCUUGAGGCCUGGCUGUCUCUGCUAGGUAGUGACUCCGCUGCGAUUCAUGUUUGCUAUCCCGACUCUGUUGAGCCAGACUGCUGGUGUAGCUGUGGAGUGUUUGCCAGUGGAACGAGUUGCCGCUGCUAACCUGUGAACUGAACUGCCAAUUUCCAGACACAGAUGGGAGCUGCCCCAAAGAACCUUUCUAAACAGGUCCACUUUCCUCCCCCACAACCCCCAUCCUUUCUUUUCUACUACCUCUGGUGGGUGGUGGGCUACAAGGGAGGUUAAAGUGUUUAAGAACCAUCAUUAAAAAUAAAGUUUGG
ensembl:lincRNA